GAUGAACGCUGGCGGCGUGCCUAAUACAUGCAAGUCGAGCGAACAGACGAGGAGCUUGCUCCUCUGACGUUAGCGGCGGACGGGUGAGUAACACGUGGAUAACCUACCUAUAAGACUGGGAUAACUUCGGGAAACCGGAGCUAAUACCGGAUAAUAUAUUGAACCGCAUGGUUCAAUAGUGAAAGACGGUUUUGCUGUCACUUAUAGAUGGAUCCGCGCCGCAUUAGCUAGUUGGUAAGGUAACGGCUUACCAAGGCAACGAUGCGUAGCCGACCUGAGAGGGUGAUAGGCCACACUGGAACUGAGACACGGUCCAGACGCCUAAGGGAGGCAGCAGUAGGGAAUCUUCCGCAAUGGGCGAAAGCAUGACGGAGCAACGCCGCGUGAGUGAUGAAGGUCUUCGGAUCGUAAAACUCUGUUAUUAGGGAAGAACAAAUGUGUAAGUAACUAUGCACGUCUUGACGGUACCUAAUCAGAAAGCCACGGCUAACUACGUG
rnacentral:rRNA from 1 species